rnacentral:rRNA from 1 species
CCUACGGGAGGCAGCAGUAGGGAAUCUUCCACAAUGGGCGAAAGCCUGACGGAGCAACGCCGCGUGGGUGAAGAAGGUCUUCGGAUCGUAACACUCUGUUGUUAGAGAAGAAAGUGCGUGAGAGUAACUGUUCACGCCUCGACGGUAUCUAACCAGAAAGCCACGGCGAACUACGUGCCAGCAGCCGCGGUAAUACGUAGGUGGCAAGCGUUAUCCGGAUUUAUUGGGCGUAAAGGGAACGCAGGCGGGCAGUUAAGUCUGAUGUGAAAGCCUUCGGCUUAACCGGGGUAGUGCAUUGGAAACUGGGGGACUUGAGUGCAGAAGAGGAGAGUGGAACUCCAUGUGUAGCGGUGAAAUGCGUAGAUAUAUGGAAGAACACCAGUGGCGAAGGCGACUCUCUGGUCUGUAACUGACGCUGAGGUUCGAAAGCGUGGGUAGCAAACAGGAUUAGAUACCCGGGUAGUC